GAAAUAUCCUGUUCCUUCGUGAAUGCCCUAGCAUUUAUCACGUGACCUCGCUGACGCAACAAUAUGUUAAUGUAACCAUAUGCGUGUCAAAAUUCAUACAAAUGCUCAAAAUGGCAAGGCUUAGGGUAAAAACACAGACUCAAAAUUGUUCAACAGUAUAAGUUGUGCUUUGAACUUCCUGCUGACCCCCAAUCUAAAUGAAUGUUAUUCAUACUUUCAGAAUUGACAUUGAUAUAUCAAAAGUAUUUAUGAGAAGGAUAUGUUUUUUGUUUUUAAUUCUGAGAUUUUGGUAUUUUAAAAGUUGCUGAAAUUUACAAAAUACAAAAAAGUAAAUAUAUAUUGCAUUACAAGAAUUUAUGGACAAAAAUAUUGUAAUGUAUAGAAUCCUCAUACGCUGAAGACUUAAGUAAGCUAGGUAACUGGGGACACUACAGUACAACAUGCCUGUCAGUCUUACCAUGCUGUGUAAAAAGUAAUUAAAACUUGGUAACAUCGGAAUGAACCGGUUUAACUUCUAACUAACAUCAGUUCAUAGCGUUUCCUCAUAGAGCAAUUGGUAUAGUUUAAUGCUAAUCCUCCUUUUGUAUCAGUUAUUUAACUGUAACCCAGAAAAGAUUUUUUUAAGUAAUGUUUUGGUACCCCACACAUUUUAUCCCUCCCAGUUUUGUAUCCAGAAUAAGUAGAGAAAGUAUUGUUAUUUCUUUAUCAUCAGGACUUCAGAAGGAAUGAUUGAUUAACCUUUUAGCAUCAUUAGUACUCCAAGUAUUUAAUAUAUUUAAUUAAAUUAUGACAGGUACUACAGUGUGCAAUUAUUGUUGCAUAAAUCUGGGUCUUAAGUUAACAAAAAAAGAAUGUAAAAUAAAUAUUUUAUUAAUGGGUAGUUUAUGUGAAAUCAGACACACAACAGAUCUGUUUUUGUGGAAACUAUGAAAUAGCAAAACAAAUAGGAUAAUUGGUUUUUGUUGAAUUUCAAAAAGUGGAAAAGGGGUAAUCGAAAGUUUGAUUGUAGAAAUAAUUUUUAUGUGUUUAUCCAUCAGUUUUUUUUUUCCAAAUGUGACACGUGUUGGUAACAUGAAAUGUGUUUGAAGUGUUUGAUAUCAUCUUUUCCAAUUCUUGUACUUUAUGCCUGAUGUAAUAGAUGUCUUACCUCAUGUAAUAUUUGGCCAAAUAUGAAUGAAGUUGCCAAAAGGUGGAGCUCUUAGCCAUGGUUAAUUAUAGAUUAUUUGUUUAAACUAUAGGUCUACAGAUAUAGAUAAUGCUUUAAGGUCAAUAAUAUCAUUCAACAACAACAAACAUGUAAAUAUAUAUUGUUAAGAAAAAGUUAAUAUUGUAUUGUGUCUAACUCUUAUCUAGUAAGCUGUUCUUGACUACAAUGUUAAAGCUAUUUUCAACCAUAAACUUGUUGAAAUUCUGAAAAUUUGCAGCAUCUAAUAGUCUUUUGGAUUAUUGUACUUUCUGGGCCAAGUAAGGCACUCUCCAACCCAGACUGAUGGGUUUAUUGACUUUAUACACCGUUACUGUGGUCAUGUUGAUGAUUCUAAUUUACAUCACUUGCCAGGCUUGGUCUAAACUGGUGAACCAGUUCUCUUUGUUAAUGUUUCCUUGAAACUUUACAGAUAUUUCACCAACUGUGAAGCAGAAUGACGAGUAAGAAAAUUAAACUAUCUUGUUUUUUCUACGUGCAUGUUUUCAGUGGUAGCACUUUUUCUACCAUUUGGAUUUCUCCAUAAUCCUAAAUAUCAAACUUGCCAAUUAAAAGUGCUAAGUAUUUCACAGUCAAAGUCCUACUUAACUAGUUGUUUGUGCCAAGAGAAUAGUUUUUUUUGUUUUUUUACCAAUAUAAAAGCAUAUGCCAAAGAAUUUAAAUUUACAAAAUGUUUUAUAUUCAACUUAUUAAUAUACACAAAUUAAUUACUUUAAAUUUUCUAAUAAUAUCUUUCUCACCACUUAAUAAAUUACCCAGUGAAAGCAAUUUAAUUCACACAACUAAAAGAGCCUCGUACCAGCUUGUGUAUGUAAGAAAGGUUUAUAUGUUCACACCAACAAAUCAAUAGUGUUAGCCAGCAAUGAAGAAUUAUGUAAAAAUACAUCAAAGAAAAAAAAAGUGUCAAUUCUGUUCACUCUUGGCAACAGCAUAGCUAAGAAGCAAUAUUUGAUAAUUUUUCACCAAUUAUUAUUAUCAGUACCUAAAUAAUUAUGUAUACAAUUCUUGGUUGAGAAGAUAUAAAACUGAAUAUAUUUUAAGACUACUUGGAUAAAGCACUAAAUCACACUUAACUGUUUUACACAAAUAACGUGAACAUACAUACAUUUAACGAAAGGCUUUGAAUAUCUUUAUAUUGUGUAUGUUCACCAAUAAAUUUUCCUGUUUGUUUUGUACUUAGUAAAAAAAUUUUAUGUUUGUUAUUUAAAUACUGUUGUUGUCUGUUGGUUUUAUAUUAAUAAGUUAUGUUGAAUAAACAUUUCUCUGUUGACUUGUCACUCUUCACAAGGAUCUGUUGUACAAGAGAUUAAACAAUAAACUCACUUCGCAAAUCCUGAAAAGCUAAGUCACAUAUUUUUAGUCAGAGUUUGUGAUUUUUUAUAGAUAAAUCAAACAGUAUGACAUGAUGGUGUAAUUGAAUGAAUAGAGAAAAUUUAGAUAAUUUUUAUAUACUAAGACUCACUGAAUAAAACCUUAAAUGUUAUAUUUACAACUAACAAAGUGUAAUUGUUACAUAUAACUUGAAAGAUUUUUGUUUGUAAAUGACAGUAUUAAAAGACAACUGUUGCAUGUAAAAAGGCUGAAACAGAAUUAGUUUACAAAUAGAUUUGUGCACAAUAUUAGAAAAUGAUCUUUAAAACUUACAUGAAAAUACCGGGACAAUAAGUUACUCGCAUUUCACCAGCAUAUAUCUGAAAUUUAGGCAAUGUGAGAAAAAAACAUUUCUUUCACACAUCUUUGUUUACUUCCAUCAGAUUAUUUGAAAGGCAACAUUUUUACACAAGCAUCUUUAUCUUAAAGACAACACCCUUACAAAGACAUCUUUAUUAAAAACAACACUUUUACAAAGACAUCGUUGCCAUAAAGACAAAUUCUUACAAGAUAUUUUACCAUAAAAACAUAGACAACAUUUUUACACAGGAAUCUUUAUCUUAAAGACAACACACUUACAAA